UCAGAUGGAGUAUCUGGCUGACGAGUCAGAAAAUUCAAACUUAAAACCAAGUAGAUGUAGUGGAGUUUCUUUAGAGAAGAAGUCCUAACACUAUCAAAAAAGGAUGAUAUAUUAAUAGGUUUUUUUUUUAUUUUGUGAUAACUGCUUAUAGCGUGUGAACAGUUUUAAAAUCAUAGACUUCAGUGCUUAUUUACCGUGUGUAUUGCAUUCAGAAUACACAAAAAGCAUAGCGUAACAUGGUUUGCUAGUAUCCGCUUGGGAUUGCUCACAUGCCCUCGCAAACGAGUGUAUCACGUGUUGAAUAGAAGAUUAACAUAAGGAUGAGUCAUUUCAGACAUAUUUUGCUAUAUACUUUGAUGGAAGAAUUAUACAAAUAAAAAAUGGAAAAUAGUUUUAUAUAACAAACGAAUUUUCUAUAUUGAAAUGAUUGUAAUUAAAAGAAACAAACGAAAGAAAAUAAAAUGCAGAAGU
rnacentral:misc_RNA from 1 species